UACGUAGGGUGCGAGCGUUGUCCGGAAUUAUUGGGCGUAAAAGAGCUCGUAGGCGGUCUGUCGCGUCUGCUGUGAAAACCCGAGGCUCAACCUCGGGCCUGCAGUGGGUACGGGCAGACUAGAGGGUAUGCAGGGGAGAACGGAAUUCCUGGUGUAGCGGUGAAAUGCGCAGAAUAUCGAGGAGGAACACCGGUGGCGAAGGCGGAUUCUCUGGGCGAUUACUGACGCUGAGGAGCGAAAGCGUGGGGAGCGAACAGG
rnacentral:rRNA from 1 species